CCUCAUGAGGAUUCUUAUAAUUAUCCUUAGGGGUCCACAGAACCGUUUGGAGCAGUUCUUCUCCCGAAACUCUUCCGCAGAAUGAUCUGUCAUCUUCUCUGCACCAGCCGUGGGUCGACAAGGAAAUGGUAUCAGGAACCCUUCAGACAUUGCAUCCAAAGAAAGACGGCCCUUGAAGGUAGUCAUAAAGCGACGAACGUCCCUUCCACAUGCACACGUCCGGGGCUCUGGCUAACCAGCACGUGGGAGCACCGUCAACCGCAGAAGGGUCUUCAGCACCAUGUUGGACAAUGAAAGAGAUCCGAGUGUCCAGGAUAAAAGAGGUAAGCCCGCCAUGGCACUGGUGUCAUAUGAAAUUAUU
rnacentral:lncRNA from 1 species